rnacentral:lncRNA from 1 species
GCCUUGUUCUCUGGUGGAGGUGAACUUCAGUUGAACCUCCAGCCAUGAAGCUCCUUCACCUUGUCUUUGCAUUUCUCUGUCUGAUGAUGCUGGUUGUUCCAGGUUUUUCUGAAAUAAGUAACGCCAAUCAAUGCAGUGCCGCCGGGGGGAGAUGUAUCAGCCGCGGAUGUCCAAGGGGUUUCACAUGGAUUGGAAGAUGUGCAAGGAGACGUCCUUGCUGCAGGUGAGAAAGGAGGAAUAUGUGACCACGCCGCAUCACUGACAUCCUCUGCUGUGAAAUUCCGAUGGAUUAUAAAUUUGGAAAUCUUACGGGGCAGAGAGAUGUGAUUAACUGGUGCCUGAAUAAAAGGAAGUUGCAGUGUAAAUUUGUGCA